GACGAACGCUGGCGGCGUGCUUAACACAUGCAAGUCGAACGAUGAAGCCUAGCUUGCUAGGUGGAUUAGUGGCGAACGGGUGAGUAAUACGUGAGUGACCUACCUUUGACUCUGGGAUAAGCCUGGGAAACUGGGUCUAAUACCGGAUACGACCAAUCUCCGCAUGGGGUGUUGGUGGAAAGCGUUAUGGAGUGGUUUUAGAUGGGCUCACGGCCUAUCAGCUUGUUGGUGAGGUAAUGGCUUACCAAGGCGACGACGGGUAGCCGGCCUGAGAGGGUGACCGGCCACACUGGGACUGAGACACGGCCCAGACUCCUACGGGAGGCAGCAGUGGGGAAUAUUGCACAAUGGGCGCAAGCCUGAUGCAGCGACGCCGCGUGAGGGAUGACGGCCUUCGG
rnacentral:rRNA from 1 species